rnacentral:rRNA from 1 species
AGUGAACGCUGGCGGUAGGCCUAACACAUGCAAGUCGAACGAGUGGCGGACGGGUGAGGAAUGCAUCGGAAUCUACUCUGUCGUGGGGGAUAGCGUAGGGGCACUUACGCUAAUACCGCAUACACUUGAAUGCGCCGAUGUCGGAUUAGCUAGUUGGCGGGGUAAAGGCCCACCACGGCGACGAUCCGUAGCUGGUCUGAGAGGAUGAUCAGCCACACUGGAACUGAGACACGGUCCAGACUCCUACGGGAGGCAGCAGUGGGGAAUAUUGGACAAUGGGCGCAAGCCUGAUCCAGCCAUACCGCGUGUGUGAAGAAGGUCUUCGGAUUGUAAAGCCCUUUUGUUGGGAAAGCGGUACCCAAAGAAUAAGCACCGGCUAACUUCGUGCCAGCAGCCGCGGUAAUUC